CUGAGUUCAGCAGGAGCGUCUCUGAGCUGCAGAGUCAGGUGAAGUAUAAGGAGGCCAGUAAGCAGCAGAUGAGCAAUCUCUGUACCAUCAGCUCCCAGAGACUCCAGAAACUCAACACGCUCGAGACGCCGCUCACAUCCAGAGCGAGCUGGAGUACAGGCAGGGCCGGGCGUCUGUGAUGGGCAGUAGUUUGUACUCGCUGAUGACAGAGACGCCGCAGAACGAGUUUGUGAAGCAGCAGAUGGAGCUCCAGAGUGAGCUGAAGUAUAAAGCUGACGUGAAGGAAAACUCCAGUAAUCUGUACUCGCUCAUGCCCGAGACGCUGGACACGCAGCUCGCCAAACACGCCAGCGAGUUACAGAGUGACGUACGACACACUGCGUGUGAACUCACUCAGACUCAUCAGAUCAACACGCUCUCCUUGAUCACCAUAGCAACCCCUUAACAACACCAUAGCAACCACUCUGAAACACAACUCGAGACCAUCCAAGACCACCACUCCUUAAC